AGAAACGAAGAAAGGAAGAAAGAAAUUUCACCUAGGCACAGGAAACUCUAUGACAGAGGCUUCAGGGGCUCUUCUCUGGCCCUAAACUCGCAGUGGAUUUUUGCCUCAUUUUCCGAGGUGCAAAUGAAAUGAUAGAAGUCGAUCAAAGGAGAGGGCAGAGAGAAAGCAAGAAGGAUGGCUCCUUCCUGCAGGUCCACCUUCCUGGAGUGUUGCUUGUGGGAUAAUAGAAAUGCCUUGACAUGGGUGGGUGGGAACUAUUGCUACUUAUUAGGAAUUCAGACGCUUCUGGCAAAUUCGCAUUGUGAGGUUCCAUGGUGUAAUGGUAAGCACUCUGGACUCUGAAUCCAGCGAUCCGAGUUCGAGUCUCGGUGGAACCUUUCUGUUUAAUUAGGAAGGCAAUGCCGUGUUUUACUCCCUAAAUGGAAUGGGGAUUCUGCUGACGUUCAGAAGCUCUGCGCUGCGGGCCUCCGUGUCCCUUCUGCUCCCGCUGUCUGAGCCUCGGGAUGCACGCCGCUCUCCUCAUCCCCUCUUCGGUGUUCGGGGUCCCAGAAACCGGGUUCUCACAGUGGCCCGGACCACAGGGAAAUCGCCGAAUCAUCCAUUCGGGGUCAAAGAGCCUGGAGGAUCCCCUUUCAGGGCCAGCCUCCUGGCACCCAGCAAUCGGAGGCCCGGACUCGCCCCGCCAGGGACCCAGCGACCCAGCAAGUCCUCACCCCCUCUCAGGGCGACCCUAGGCCUCGGGGAGAGGUCUCCACUAAAAAGGCUGCCACCUCUCGAUCCUAGACCCCGAGAUUCCUUUCACCCGGGAAAUCUCUUAAUCGCAUCCUUUGUCAUUUUGAUUUUUAUGCCGAAUUUCUAGCUCCUACGUCUCUAUUGCGGGCCCUAAAAGUCGCUGUUUCACUAAGCUUUGGAACCUGACUCCGGGAAAUUUCAUUCUUUCCUCCCAAGAUCUCAGCCGGAAAGAGAGAUCCGCGCGGGCUGGGAGCGCGGGUUCUGUUCCUCGGCCGCCCCGGCUGAACUCCCGCAGGACCACGGGGAAGAGGAGCCUGAGCAGCUCUGAGGGGCCAGUCUCUGACGGUGGGGCUCCCCCUCGUCCCGUCAGGACCCUGCCCCAAGGAGAAGACGCCUUAGAACGCUACCAGAGUUAAAAAUGUUUUCUCCUGCGCUUCAGAGCACUUGGGAUGAGGUUCCUGAUGGGUCUUGGGAGUGAACUAAGAUGUCACUCCAGGCGCUCAGGACCAUCGCUCUGAUUUUCAUAUUUUGGGGCUGAGAGCGGUUACGAAGGACUGAAAAACACCGCAGUCUUUGAGGGGCUCAGUUUGGAGGACGAGCUGGGGGAGGGGGGCGGUGAGAAGACGCCUUCUUGGCUCCUUGGAGUGGACUGGCAGGUAAGGAAAAAUAAACUCCGUUUCCCCUUGCAGGCUACACUGCAGGGCCUGGGAUGGACAAUUGGACAGUCAAAGAGUAACAAUAUUUAUGUAGAGGUUGGCUGCAUGCAUUAAAAAUUGUUAUCCCUACAGAUAAGUGUAGGAAGGGACCACGGCACUGCGGUUCACCACCAGCUUUGCAGCAUAUGUAACUAUGAAAACAGUGUAUAGUGCAUAAAAAAUUCAUUCCUGUUCACAAAUAAUUGAUCACAACCAGUUACAGGUUUCUUUGUUCCUUCUCCACUUCCACUGCUUCACUUGACUAGCCUUACAGGAAAAAAAAAAAUCAUUUGUAAAUAUGAUAUUGUUUCAGUUGAUCCUCAGCCCGCCCGUUCCCCACCCCCUGAAAGUAGCUGGAAUAACAGGUGUGCUAAUUUUUGUAUUUUUAGUAGAGACAGGGUUACGCCAUUUUGGCCAGGCAGCUCUCGAACUUAAGAACUCAGGUGAUCCGCCUGCCUGGGCCUCCCUGAACCUCUCUGCUGGGAUUACAGGCAUGAGCCACCCCACUUGGCCAUCAUUUGUAUUUUGAAUUUAAAUAUUUUGUAGUCAUCACUCUUCAAAGAUUCUGGGUUUUGUUGCAUGUGCAUGAUGGGAUUCAGGACAUGCUACUCCAAAGUAUAACAUCUUGGGGUAUUGAAUAUUUUAUGCUAAAGGAAUAUGAGUAAACCACAGAAGCAGGAAGGUCACUGUCACCCUCCCCCUGCCCUUCUUCCCUGAAGUCGAUUGUAAGACUCUUAUGUGAGAGGUGCCCUCUCUGUACCCAGAGGAAAGGUGCAUCCUGGAGUGUGAAGACACAGGGACACAGAGAAGAGCCUGAACACAGAGGCCUGGCCACAUUUUCCCCAGUUUGUUACUGUUAGAUCAUACUUUUAUUGUCUUAUCAUACUUCUCCAUGACUAUCCAUUCUUCAAUAAAACUACUGUUAAAAAACAAAUAAACAAAAAACUGAGGUUUAGCUGUUUCCAUGGGCCUUCAUUUUCUUUGGAAGGCGCUCCUGUCACAUAAAACUUACAUUAAACAAAUACAUAUGUUCUUCUCUUAUUAGUCUGUGUUUUGCUGUGAGGGUCUCAGCAGUGAACCUAGGCUGGGUGAGGAAAAGUCAUAUUUCCUCCCCGACAUGUACAAA
rnacentral:lncRNA from 1 species